rnacentral:lncRNA from 1 species
CUCGAUUUGAGCGGAUCGACAAAACGCCGAUCCCGGAGGGCAGGGAAGCGGCGGAAGCAGGCAGCAGUCGACAGGUCACUCGUCAACCUCGAGGAGCCGCGUCUCGUGACCGUGUUGGGCGCAAAAGUUAGUUGAGAGCCAGCGGCGUAAACAACAGCCCAUUUUCUCUUGAACAGGGACUUGCAGUGCAGCUGCCCAGGAUGGGAAUGAGCACAUGCCGACGGGAUACGACGUCUACGCCUGGUCUGCUGGUUUAACACUAUAUGAUCUAUGCCAUCACGAGCCGGGUGACGUAGUGUGAUGCUUCCCUGUCCUGGAUCACCGCCCGGAUCUCUACUGUAUUGCGCUCUGCUGCGCCGGCGCGGGGCCACGCGCUUGUCACCACUGGAGCUGGACUCAGGUUCAGCCAUUCGGGAGAUUUUGUCACUCACUCCGCUACAGCAACGAGGCACAGGUGCCUGCCACUGUUGGAACCUGGACGGAAACGUGACCGUGAUACUCACGCGAGUUCACUAAUCACCUUUCCGAUGUGAGGAUGUGCACGAUAAUAUUACUGCGUAGUAGUGCAUGCUGCUCCGUGAAUUUCUUCUGUGGACACGGCGCUCAUUCACCUUGCCGGUUGCAGUUACCACCAGGUUAUACCGCUUAGCGAUUGUCAUCGACGGCUGGCUCUCUGGCGUGGGGCAGUCAGAACUCCAUAGAACUGGAUCGACGGGAGCACAGGUAUAUCGACGGUUUACGCGCACGCGCUAUCAUCAGUCCCCUGCUGAGUUUUCCGCCAGUAACGCCCCAAAGUACUCUCCCUUAGGAGUCGAUGGCCUGCGCAGUUGCACAAUUUCCCCUUUCCUGUACUGGAAGCAUAAUGAAAGGAAUGGAUGAAAACAAGGGCUCAUGCAUACGCUUGCUUGGCCUCCCCUACACGGAAGAUGCACACGGUCUAACGAAUCAACCGAACCACAGAAGCCUUCAGUUGAAUCUCCUGGCCGGGCCCGAAAGUGAUGCUGCCUGCGUGCUGACCGACAUUAUAUACCGGGGAACGACUAAAAUCAUCAGGUUCGCUUCAUGAUGAAGUUGCGAGGAUCCACGGGUUCGGCAUGGUGUUUUCAAACAAUGCCAGAACUGAGACAGAACAAGGUAACUCUUCUGCUCUGCUCAUCACUUCACGCAACCGGAUCCCGACAACUGCGGUACAUGGAUUCUACCACUGAAACACAGAACGCCCACCGCCAACUAUAUCCAGUGGAAGGUGCACACUCACGUGGAGUGUCGCCGGGCAAACAGUGACCAGCGCCGCGGCCCGAUAGCUGCCUCUACGGCUCUUUUGCGGAGAGGCUUAUAAAUGCAAGGUUGCGCCACUUCACUGCACGAUGUGUUUCGUGCGUCUGUUCCGUGAGUGAGAUAUUCGUUCAUUCGAGAGAGGCCUUCGAGACUAUAUUUGCUGCCCACAAAGAGGGCAGGAGGAGCAAUCGGGACGAAUGGCACCACCAUAUGGAGUAGGAUGAAAGUGUACAAGCAGAAGCGGGACAACGUCGGCACUGUCAUACUUCCUCACUCGGAUUGCCAUGUGGCCGAAUAAUUGUGUGACAAUGCAGGCGAUUUACUAACAGAUACUCUCAUGCUGUUACCUUGCCCACCCGAUCAAGCUCUCGAGUUUUUCCGAACAUAUGUGGGAUUCAUGCCCCGAUUAGGCCCUCUCAGGAACGUCAAGGGGAAAGAUCCACGUUCCCCCCCAUCGGCGACCGACGGUAAAAGAAGACGUACGGUCUUCCUUUGUAUCUCGACCCCUCUUCAUGCGAACAAGGUGUUGAUUCGAACGUUGCUUACCCGGCGCAGGAUUACAUGUAUCUGUGGCUCUGACAAUGUCUCGUUCUAACCGUGACUCCGCCAAUAUUGGACCGCGCGAACGGCGGAGUCCCAGCCAAAAUUGAACACGAGUCAUGGCGUGCGAAGAAGCGAUUGCAUUCCCGGUGGAGCUUAUCUUGCUGUUGAGUAACUGAACGUAACAAGAGCUGCCACCGUUGCCCGGUUAACGAACGGAUGCUACGUUUCCGUGACGCAAUUUUCCCCAUCCAGCCUUAUUCAAACCAAGCUCAGCCCCGAUUCCUAAAGCAGCUCUUACAUGUCAACCCCACGGAAAGAAAGACGCUGUACGAAACCAC